rnacentral:lncRNA from 1 species
GCCAUAAGGGCAUCCCAUUGCCAUUACAGGACUGAGGCAUAUUGGUCAAGUGGAUCUCACUUUUCUCUUUCAUUCAUAUCUCUUUUUUAUGAAACUCUGAUCCUCCUCUAACCUUCUUUCUUUUCUCUCUCUUAAAUUUCUUCUUCCGGUUUCCCAAUAUGGACAGAGAUCUCGGCUGCCGUCGACUUCCCUACCUCUCCGGCUGCGUUCCCUCUUCUCCCGCAUGCUUUCCCAUCCACGAAGGAGUAGAGUACACUCGCAUCCACGGCGGCGCUGGAGCCAAAAGAAGCGGCUGGAGAUGGCGGUAUCUUCUUAGAAAGUGGGUGAAAGAUGGCAUGAAUAUAUAUGGAUCGAAAUCUCUAUCUUUCCAAUACGACGCCGUUAGCUAUUCGCAGAAUUUUGACGAGGGCAGCCGUUGUUACGAGAGUUGCCAUCGAGAAAAUGAGAUAGGGAUUUCGAGAUGAACGUACCUACGGUUUAAUUGAUCGAUCCAUCGAUCGAUCGCUGUAGAUGGGAUUAUGGUAGGAUUUUCUGAGUUGAAUUACUGCAAUUUUCUUUUGAGAUUUUUUGGUUUUUGUUUUCAAAUUUUAGUCCGUUAAUUUUGGAUGUGUUUGAGAUUUAUGAAUAAAUGGAUGGUGGGAGUGUGGAGAUUAGAGAAUUGUAGAUCUACCAAGAAGAUGAACAUUCUUUCUUGUUUGUACAGUUUCCCAGAUGACAGGUGCCGCCCAUUGAUUUGCCCACAUUUUCUUUUUCUUUUUCUCUUUUCUGGCGGGUCCCAUCAAGAUGUAUAUUUCUUGGCUCAAUUAAACCGUAAAUUCCAAACAUAUUUUUUAAACUAAAAUUGCUUCCUUCAACUAACCUUCAUUCAUCUCUUUCUAUAUGCUAAAUAAUAUUUGGAUUUAUGAGUGAAUAUUUCUUUACACACAUUUCGUCUGUGCCAAACUUUUAUUACUUCUCUUUCAAAAUAUUCUCUACUAAAUUUCUCCCUACAUUUUAAAUUUAUGAAUGAUAUAGUAAUCAAAACGUUUCCUAGUCUAUAUAUUUGGUAAAUUUUAAGAAACAAUCUUCUUCAAGUUAAUUAAGAUUUAGAAGCGUUUGUAAAAAUAACAAUUUUUUUUAUAAUAAUAAAGUUUAUGUCACUACAAUUUAAAAAUAGAUAGCAGUAACACCUUUCUAGAUUGUUUUUUUCUAAAUUAUUUUAUGCAAAUUAUUUUAUAGAUUUA